rnacentral:lncRNA from 1 species
AUAAUGGGAUUUGAUAAGAAUCGAUAAUAGGAUUUCAAAAUUAUGAAAGGCUUCAUCUGGGCAAUUUCAUAUGGGAAAGAUGAUGGAGAGAAGAAGAUGAUGAGUUGGGUUUUUACUUUCUCGUUCUUAUUAGUACAGUACCAAAUACAGUAUAAAUAAUACGAUAAUUAGUCUGAUGUUAUACCAAAUGCUGGACUAAUUUAGUCAGUGUUAUCCAAUGACUAUUUAUCCUAUUUGACUGAAAUAGUCAGUACAGUCCAAAUUGCCAAGCGAGGCCUAAUAGAUUGACAAAAGGAAAUGAUGUAAUCACGAUCUCAUUUUUAUGAGGACUUCCAUGGCACGUUAUAACUAUGUUAACGUGACAUUACAUGUCAAUAAUGUAAAAAAAUGUAGAAAUUUUUAUUCUUUUGACAUUUUAUUAUUAAUAUAGAACAUGACAUAUUCACAAUAACAAUAUAUAGUGUCAUGUAAGUCGAUCUCUAUUUUCACACAUUACCUUUCAAUAUUUUAUACUUAUGCUGAUAAAAAGUUGCACAACAAAGUGUGUUGAGCAACCUUCUAAACUAAGCAAAGGAGGAUGAGAUUCUUAAUGCCAACGUGCGACCAUUUCUUAUAUGUGAAACAAAUCAAAGCCUACUUCAAUGGAAGACAUUUCAUAUCUAUAAGUAACACUUUUUGGCACGUAAAUAUUCUUAUUUCUAAAGAGUAAUGCAGAAGAGUUCCUAUAUUUUCCGGGAAAGAGAACGACCGACCUAAGCCCAACCAGAAAAGAGGCUUUUUUGAGCCUUUGACCGACUUUUCAUCUUCAUUUCAUGUGAACAUGUUCAAAACUAUUUAUGUAAACCAACUUCCAUCCAAUGUGGUGAAAGUCAAAAGGCAGUCUCAUAAUCUGAAGUCUUAAGGCAUCUUAAAGUGACAAUAAUAUCCUUCAUCACAAGUCAUGAAAGUCAUAUUGGAUGUAACUACCAAAGGAAACUACCCAUGUCCAUCGUUUGAAUGCUCUUCCAUGUCCGUAGAAAUGUGAUCGACAUAUUUUAACCGAGCACAUUUAAUUAUUAUUUCUGUAAAAAUUCUAUCUAAUUAUUUAUUAUUUAGUCAACUCAAACAAGUUAAUGAUUUAUAUGUUAAUAUUUUUAUAAUGAACCGUCCAAUAUUCUGAUAUAUAUAAAUAAGAAAAAGAUAUGUAUUUUGAUUGAUUAAUUUUUAUCCAAUUCCAGAUACGAUAACAAUGGCCCUAAAUUUUCUUCAAAAGAAUAAAAAAAAAAUGAAACAAUGCCC